rnacentral:precursor_RNA from 14 species
GAGUCUUUCAUUUGAGACCUUAAAUUACUCUAGCAGCACAUCAUGGUUUGCAUGAUCUUGUAAAGAUGCUAAUCAUUAUUUGCUGCUUUAGGAAUUUAAGGAAAAAACACAGUUGAAGAU